CUUGGUGCGUACGGGCUUGUCGGAUCCCUGCUCGGGCAGCGACGGCAACUCGUGCUCGCCUCUUCAAUCGUCGGUUCAAGCGUGCCUUGAUCGAUGUCGGUUUCCUGUGUUGCAUACCUAUUGUGGAGGUAUCCUGCCGGUUAAAAGUGCCCCGCUCCGUCUUGCGUUGCGUCCUUUCGAGGCCGCGGCGUGGGAUGGACCAUGAAGAUUCGUCGUGUUCCACAUCCCAGACGUAACUGUCCUCGGGUUGUUGGCCCACGGCGGCAUGCUCGAUCUCUCGGAUGCGGAAAAUUGUGUGGGUACGAGGCGUUUGCUCUCUAUUUACCCCGAAAAAAGGCGUUUCACGCUCUAUGCGAACGACUACCGUCGCCGUUGUGAUCGAGUCCUUGCGGCUUGCAUCAUGCGGUGCCGGUGUCGGUAANGAA
rnacentral:misc_RNA from 1 species